GCUGGGCAUGGUGGCGCGUGCCUGUAAUCCCAGCUGCUCAGGAGGCUGAGGCAGGAGAAUUGCCUGAGCCCAGGAGGUGGAAGUUGCGGUGAGCCGAGAUCGUGCCGUUGCACUCCAGCCUGGGUAAAAACAGCAAAACGACUCAAAAAAAAAAAAAAAAAAAAGGACAAUGAACAUUUUUUUUUUGAGGCAGAGUUUUACUCUUGUUACCCAGGCUGGAGUGCAAUGGCACGAUCUCGGCUCACUGCAACCUCCGCCUCCCGAGUUCCAGCGAUUGUCCUGACUCAG
rnacentral:SRP_RNA from 1 species